GCAGGAGCAAAAGUCUGGCAGACAAUCACCAACGGCCUUUUUUCGUUCCGACAUACAGCCCUUUAUGAUAAAGGAUGCGUUAUGGACAGCUGACACGCAGGACUUUGAUGCAAUUCUACCGUUCACUGUGGCCCAAGUACACUGCUCAGAAUCAAGCCCACCCGAAAACUACUGUUGGGCCGGGAACUUGCUGCUUCACGAGCCGGCGCUCCAGGGACAAGACUGCCCGGAGACAGACCCAGCAGAAUCUGGG